AAAACAAGUGAAACUGCGAGCUACUGCUCACUGAUGAUACCCCCGCCGCAAGUGGAUAAUAUUAAUAGUGUAAAAAUAUGCAAGUGUUCGGUAAACAGGAAGUUGUUGAGUGAUGAAUCUGAAAACGCAACACACGGUAUAGCUGACUUAUAUAAAUCCUGAAACCAAAUUUCAGAAAUCCUUGUAUUGUAGUUCCUGAGAAAAAUGUGACGAAAAUUUUCAACUUGGCUAUCAUGUGUAAAAUCAUACAAGUGUUCGGUAAACAGAAAGUUGUCAAGUGAUC
rnacentral:lncRNA from 1 species